rnacentral:misc_RNA from 1 species
CCUGAAUAAGUUUCCUCUGAGACUCCCAUAACAAGAUUAGAGCCCCUAAUACACUUUGCAUACCAUUCAUUGUUCACUGUUCCCACUCCUAGGAAAUUCAGUAUUUGAUCAUACACCGGUUGGUCAAAUGAAGAAUUCAGAACAUACCAACCAUGGGAUGAAAGAUUAAGCAAGCUCACUCCUUCAUCCCUUGCAUUGUUUAGUAUAUUCCAAAAUUCAGGCAUUAUUCUACCAAUUUCACACGGUCUACGGAAGAUCUUCUGCUCCAUGCAUGAUUCACUUGGAACAAUGUUUUCUUCAGCCAGCUUUGCUUUGAUUGAUUCCCUCACAGCAUUUGGAUAGGGAGAGCUGCUGACAGGAAGGAACUCAAACAUUCGAGCCAAAUUAAAUACUGGUGCUUCUUCUGUGGUUCUGACUAGUGAGAUCAAUGCUUCAACAAAGGCAAAGGGUACACAAUUAAGAAUUCCUUGAUUCCACACGUUGUCCAAAAGUAUCGUUUCCCUUGAUGAUGCUAAAAUAAAAUCUGCUUGGAUUAUGAAUGGAAAGUUUGUGACCAUCUCAGUAGGAAGAAAUGCAUAAACCCCAGGUGCGUUCAUUCCUCUAUGCAGACGCUCUCCAUUAGGAAAAGCCAAAGUGAUCACCCACUCCUCGACUUCCAUUCUCCUUUCAACUCUGUUUUCCUGUCUCACAGGAAACUUCUGUUUCCAAAUGUAGUAGCUGCAUUCUCCUAUGGAGUCAUUACCAUUUCCCUCCGCAGAAAGAUGGAGUGUGAAGGAUUCAGCGUCAAUAUUCUUCCUUGUCACCCAAUUGGUC